rnacentral:rRNA from 1 species
GAUGAACGCUGGCGGCGUGCCUAAUACAUGCAAGUCGAGCGAACAGACGAGGAGCUUGCUCCUCUGACGUUAGCGGCGGACGGGUGAGUAACACGUGGAUAACCUACCUAUAAGACUGGGAUAACUUCGGGAAACCGGAGCUAAUACCGGAUAAUAUAUUGAACCGCAUGGUUCAAUAGUGAAAGACGGUUUUGCUGUCACUUAUAGAUGGAUCCGCGCCGCAUUAGCUAGUUGGUAAGGUAACGGCUUACCAAGGCGACGAUGCGUAGCCGACCUGAGAGGGUGAUCGCCCACACUGGAACUGAGACACGGUCCAGACUCCUACGGGAGGCCGCAGUAGGGAAUCUUCCGCAAUGGGCGAAAGCCUGACGGAGCAACGCCGCGUGAGUGAUGAAGGUCUUCGGAUCGUAAAACUCUGUUAUUAGGGAAGAACAAAUGUGUAAGUAACUAUGCACGUCUUGACGGUACCUAAUCAGAAAGCCCCGGCUAACUACGUG